UACGUAGGGUGCAAGCGUUAAUCGGAAUUACUUGGGACGGUAAAGCGUGCGCAGGCGGUGAUGUAAGACAGGAUCGUGAAAUCCCCGGGCUCAACCUGGGGAACUGCAUUUGUGACUGCAUCGCUGGAGUGCGGCAGAGGGGGGAUGGAAUUCCGCGUGUAGCAGUGAAAUGCGUAGAUAUGCGGAGGAACACCGAUGGCGAAGGCAAUCCCCUGGGCCUGCACUGACGCUCAUGCACGAAAGCGUGGGGAGCAAACAGG
rnacentral:rRNA from 1 species